rnacentral:rRNA from 1 species
GACGAACACUGGCGGCGUGCCUAAUACAUGCAAGUCGACCUUAGUGGCGAACGGGUGAGUAACACGUGGGUAACCUGCCCAUCAGAAGGGGAUAACACUUGGAAACAGGUGCUUAUACCGUUUCCUGAUGGAUGGACCAGCGGGGCAUUAGCUAGUUGGUGAGGUAACGGCUCACCAAGGCCACGAUGCAUAGCCGGCCUGAGAGGAUGAUCGGCCACAUUGGGACUGAGACACGGCCCAAACUCCUACGGGAGGCAGCAGUGGGGAAUAUUCGGCAAUGGGCGAAAGUCUGACCGAGCCACGCCGCGUGAGUGAAGAAGGUUUUCGGAUCGUAAAACUCUGUUGGUCGAGAAGCGGUAUCGACCCAGAAAGCCACGGCUAACUACGUGCCAGCAGCCGCGGUAAUAC